CAAGGCUUGACAUAUACCGCAAAGCAUCAGAGAUGGUGCCCCCCUGGCGGUCGGUAUCCAGGUGGUGCAUGGCGGUCGUCAGCUCGUGUCGUGAGAUGUUGGGUUAAGUCCCGCAACGAGCGCAACCCUUGUUCUGUGUUGCCAGCAUGCCCUUCGGGGUGAUGGGGACUCACAGGAGACUGCCGGGGUCAACUCGGAGGAAGGUGGGGACGACGUCAAGUCAUCAUGCCCCUUAUGUCUUGGGCUGCACACGUGCUACAAUGGCCGGUACAAAGAGCUGCGAAGCCGUGAGGCGGAGCGAAUCUCAAAAAGCCGGUCUCAGUUCGGAUUGGGGUCUGCAACUCGACCCCAUGAAGUCGGAGUUGCUAGUAAUCGCAGAUCAGCAUUGCUGCGGUGAAUACGUUCCCGGGCCU
rnacentral:rRNA from 1 species